UUAGACGAUGNUGNANCNCCCUGCNGUAGAGACACGGUCCAGACUCCUACGGGAGGCAGCAGUGGGGAAUAUUGGACAAUGGGCGAAAGCCUGAUCCAGCCAUGCCGCGUGUGUGAAGAAGGUCUUCGGAUUGUAAAGCACUUUAAGUUGGGAGGAAGGGCAGUUACCUAAUACGUGAUUGUUUUGACGUUACCGACAGAAUAAGCACCGGCUAACUCUGUGCCAGCAGCCGCGGUAAUACAGAGGGUGCAAGCGUUAAUCGGAAUUACUGGGCGUAAAGCGCGCGUAGGUGGUUUGUUAAGUUGGAUGUGAAAGCCCCGGGCUCAACCUGGGAACUGCAUCCAAAACUGGCAAGCUAGAGUAUGGUAGAGGGUGGUGGAAUUUCCUGUGUAGCGGUGAAAUGCGUANAUAUAGGAAGGAACACCAGUGGCGAAGGCGACCACCUGGACUGAUACUGACACUGAGGUGCGAAAGCGUGGGGAGCAAACAGGGAUUANAUACCCUGGUAGUCCACGC
rnacentral:rRNA from 1 species